rnacentral:rRNA from 1 species
UAAGGAAUAUUGGACAAUGGAGGCAACUCUGAUCCAGCCAUGCCGCGUGAAGGAAUAAGGCCCUAUGGGUUGUAAACUUCUUUUAGACGGGACAAAACCCCUUUACGUGUAAAGGGUUGAUGGUACUGUCAGAAUAAGCAUCGGCUAACUUCGUGCCAGCAGCCGCGGUAAUACGAAGGAUGCAAGCGUUAUCCGGAAUUAUUGGGUUUAAAGGGUGCGUAGGCGGACUAAUAAGUCAGUGGUGAAAGCCUGCAGCUUAACCGCAGAAUUGCCAUUGAUACUGUUAGUCUUGAGUACAGUUGAGGUAGGCGGAAUGUGUCAUGUAGCGGUGAAAUGCUUAGAUAUGACACAGAACACCGAUUGCGAAGGCAGCUUGCUAAGCUGUAACUGACGCUGAGGCACGAAAGCGUGGGGAGCAAACA